rnacentral:misc_RNA from 1 species
GAUGAAGAACGUAGUGAAAUGCGAUAAGUAAUGUGAAUUGCAGAAUUCAGUGAAUCAUCGAAUCUUUGAACGCACCUUGCGCUCUUUGGUAUUCCGAAGAGCAUGCCUGUUUGAGUAUCAUGAAAAUAUCAACCUUGACUUGGGUUUUGUGCUCUAGUCUCGGCUUGGAAUUGGGUGCUUGCCGCUUUUACGAGCGGCUCACCUUAAAUGUAUUAGCUGGAUCUGUCUUUGAGACUUGGUUUGACUUGGCGUAAUAAGUAUUUCGCUAAGGACAUUCUUCGGAGUGGCCUCGUUUCUAGGACGCUUGUCCGCUUUCCAAUACAAGUUCCACCUCGUGGACAUGACUUUUUAUUAUCUGGCCUCAAAUCAGGUAGGACUACCCGCUGAACUUAAGCAUAUCAAUAAGCGGAG